rnacentral:tRNA from 1 species
AGCCCUGUAAUUAGAUUGCAAACCUAGAGAAGCCAAGUAAUUUUGGCCGGGGCUU